rnacentral:misc_RNA from 1 species
UUUCCGUAGGUGAACCUGCGGAAGGAUCAUUAUUGAAUGAAACGCUUCUGGCUUUAUGCUGCUGUGCUGGCCCUUUAGGCAAUGUGCACACGACUCUGGCCACUUGUUUCUUCUGUUCUACCUGUGCACUGCCUGUAGACCCGGUGUGUCUUUGUUAUUUGUUAAACCACAACUAUGUUAGUGGGCAUGUUACAUAUAAUAAUAAAAUAUACAACUUUCAACAACGGAUCUCUUGGCUCUC